AGAACGCUGAAGCUUGGUGCUUGCACCGAGCGGAUGAGCUGCGAACGGGUGAGUAACGCGUAGGUAACCUGCCUGGUAGCGGGGGAUAACUAUUGGAAACGAUAGCUAAUACCGCAUGACAACAGUUAUUGCAUGAUAACUGUUUAAAAGGGGCAAUUGCUCCACUACCAGAUGGACCUGCGUUGUAUUAGCUAGUUGGUGAGGUAACGGCUCACCAAGGCGACGAUACAUAGCCGACCUGAGAGGGUGAUCGGCCACACUGGGACUGAGACACGGCCCAGACUCCUACGGGAGGCAGCAGUAGGGAAUCUUCGGCAAUGGACGGAAGUCUGACCGAGCAACGCCGCGUGAGUGAAGAAGGUUUUCGGAUCGUAAAGCUCUGUUGUAAGAGAAGAACGAGUGUGAGAGUGGAAAGUUUACACUGUGACGGUAUCUUACCAGAAAGGGACGGCUAACUACGUGCCAGCAGCCGCGGUAAUACGUAGGUCCCGAGCGUUAUCCGGAUUUAUUGGGCGUAAAGCGAGCGCAGGCGGUUAGAUAAGUCUGAAGUUAAAGGCUGUGGCUUAACCAUAGUACGCUUUGGAAACUGUUUAACUUGAGUGCAAGAGGGGAGAGUGGAAUUCCAUGUGUAGCGGUGAAAUGCGUAGAUAUAUGGAGGAACACCGGUGGCGAAAG
rnacentral:rRNA from 1 species